ensembl:snRNA U2 U2 spliceosomal RNA
AUUUCUUUAUAUAUUUCUGUUCAAUUAAAAAAAAAUGUUCUUAUCAGUUUAAAAUCUAAUAUGUCCCCUACAUGGGGACCGUAUAUUAAAUUGAUUUCUGAAACUAGGAGAAGGAAUAGGGACUUCCUCCAUCCACUCCACGCAUCAACCUGGUAUUGCAAUACCUGCAGGAAUGGUACACUUUCU